UACGUAGGGUGCAAGCGUUAAUCGGAAUUACUGGGCGUAAAGCGUGCGCAGACGGCUAUGCAAGACAGAUGUGAAAUCCCCGGGCUUAACCUGGGAACUGCAUUUGUGACUGGCAAGCUAGAGUAUGGCAGAGGGGGGUAGAAUUCCACGUGUAGCAGUGAAAUGCGUAGAGAUGUGGAGGAAUACCGAUGGCGAAGGCAGCCCCCUGGGCCAAUACUGACGCUCAUGCACGAAAGCGUGGGGAGCAAACAGG
rnacentral:rRNA from 1 species